rnacentral:tRNA from 1 species
GCUGGGGUAGCUCAGUGGUAGAGCUUUCGCCUGAAGAGCGAAGAGUCGCCGGUUCGAUCCCGGCCCCCAGCA